ACGUAGGUGGCGAGCGUUAUCCGGAAUUACUGGGCGUAAAGCGCGCGCAGGCGGUUGUACAAGUUCGGCGUGAAAGCUCCCGGCUUAACUGGGAGAGGUCGUUGAAAACUGUAUAACUUGAGGCGAUGAGAGGGGUACGGAAUUCCAGGUGUAGUGGUGGAAUGCGUAGAUAUCUGGAGGAACACCAGUGGCGAAAGCGGUACCCUGGCAUUGACCUGACGCUCAUGUGCGAAAGCGUGGGGAGCGAACGGG
rnacentral:rRNA from 1 species